rnacentral:lncRNA from 1 species
CAUUCUCAGUAAGAUUUGUUGGGGGGUUUUCCACACUAUAAAAACAAAAUGAAUGAUGUGAGGGAAUGUCACUCUGGUCAACCCCAUUGGGGAUUGACGGCUUGAAGCCGUCUUCCCCAAAAACUGAUUCGAAAGUUUUAUGAUUUCAAUGCCUAGUUUUCCUUACAAUUAUUUUCAUCAUUGUCAAAAGCAAUAAAGGGCCAUAACUCAUCUUCAGCAUAAGUUGUAACUGCAUGUUAUCACCAGAAACAAAAUAUUCAUAUUUGAAAAAAAUUGGUUGAAUAGUUUUCAAGUUAUCACACUGAAACAGCAUAAGUAAAAUCAGCACUUGGUCUUUUUGGUACUAAUCAACAUAGUGACUAAAGAAAAUCAUUGCCAGCUGAUUUUUUUCUUGAAAUUUUCG